rnacentral:rRNA from 1 species
AUUGAACGCUGGCGGCAGGCCUAACACAUGCAAGUCGAGCGGAUGACGGGAGCUUGCUCCUUGAUUCAGCGGAGGACGGGUGAGUAAUGCCUAGGAAUCUGCCUGGUAGUGGGGGACAACGUUUCGAAAGGAACGCUAAUACCGCAUACGUCCUACGGGAGAAAGCAGGGGACCUACGGGCCUUGCGCUAUCAGAUGAGCCUAGGUCGGAUUAGCUAGUAGGUGAGGUAAUGGCUCACCUAGGCGACGAUCCGUAACUGGUCUGAGAGGAUGAUCAGUCACACUGGAACUGAGACACGGUCCAGACUCCUACGGGAGGCAGCAGUGGGGAAUAUUGGACAAUGGGCGAAAGCCUGAUCCAGCCAUGCCGCGUGUGUGAAGAAGGUCUUCGGAUUGUAAAGCACUUUAAGUUGGGAGGAAGGGCAGUAAGCUAAUACCUUGCUGUUUUGACGUUACCGACAGAAUAAGCACCGGCUAACUCUGUGCCAGCCGCCGCGGUAACAC